rnacentral:rRNA from 1 species
GACGAACGCUGGCGGCGUGCCUAAUACAUGCAAGUUGAGCGCUGAAGGUUGGUACUUGUACCAACUGGAUGAGCAGCGAACGGGUGAGUAGCGCGUGGGGAAUCUUCCUUUGAGCGGGGGACAACAUUUGGAAACGAAUGCUAAUACCGCAUAAAAACUUUAAACACAAGUUUUAAGUUUGAAAGAUGCAAUUGCAUCACUCAAAGAUGAUCCCGCGUUGUAUUAGCUAGUUGGUGAGGUAAAGGCUCACCAAGGCGAUGAUACAUAGCCGACCUGAGAGGGUGAUCGGCCACAUUGGGACUGAGACACGGCCCAAACUCCUACGGGAGGCAGCAGUAGGGAAUCUUCGGCAAUGGACGAAAGUCUGACCGAGCAACGCCGCGUGAGUGAAGAAGGGUUUCGGAUCGUAAAACUCUGUUGGUAGAGAAGAACGUUGGUGAGAGUGGAAAGCUCAUCAAGUGACGGUAACUACCCAGAAAGGGACGGCUAACUACGUG